rnacentral:rRNA from 1 species
GACGAACGCUGGCGGCGUGCUUAACACAUGCAAGUCGAACGAUGAAGAAAAGAAUUGAAGCUUCGGCAGAAAUUCAUUUCGGAUUAGUGGCAGACGGGUGAGUAACGCGUGAGCAACCUACCUCUUACAAAGGGAUAGCCUCGGGAAACCGGGAUUAAUACCAUAUAACAUUGCGACGAAGCAUUUCGAUGCAAUCAAAGCUACGGCGGUAAGAGAUGGGCUCGCGUCCCAUUAACCAGAUGGUGAGGUAACGGCUCACCAUAGUAACGAUGGGUAACCGGCCUGAGAGGGUGAACGGUAACACUGGAACUGAGACACGGUCCAGACUCCUACGGGAGGCAGCAGUGGGGAAUAUUGCACAAUGGAGGGAACUCUGAUGCAGCGACGCCGCGUGAGUGAUGAAGGAAUUCGUUUCGUAAAACUCUGUUCUAUGGGAAGAAAAGGACUGUACCAUAGGAGAAAGCUCCGGCUAAAUACGUG